GCAGCUGUGGCCGAGUGGUUAAGGUGAUGGGCUUGCAAACCAUUGGGUUCUCCCCGCGUAGGUUCGAACUCUACCAGCUGCG